rnacentral:lncRNA from 1 species
GUUUAGUCUUUAGUUUUCUAUGUUGUGUUGUGUGUACUAUUGUUUGUUUGUCUGUUAUUUUUUGUUUCUUUUUAAACCAUGGCUUUGUCAGUUUAUUUUCGAUUUAUGAGUUUGAAUGUUCCUCUUUCAUCUUUCGUAUAUCUUUUACUUAUUGUUAUGGCUUGUUUUUGUUUUUAAAGACCGAAUAGUGGCAUUAAGAAUAGCUGAAUGCUAAAGAUAGUGGAGGGACGAUUAGGUUCAGUCGAAGAAAACCUAACAAUAGCAUGGCACCCUAAGAAAUUAAAGCAGGGGUUGUAAAUUAGGAAAACACAUAAUCUGCCGUUUUACACCAAAUGAGGAUUAAAAUACUUUUUCAUAUUUUGGUGUUGGACGAAAUGCAUUUUAUAUAUAAUAUUACAAAUAAAAUAAAUACCUCUUUUGUCAUUUUAAUGCAUCCAAUUCCAAGUGGGAAUCAAACAGCAUCCUGUAAUGUUCUUUUAUAUGUGGAUGAGUGGGACGUCAAUCCAGCAAUUUAUUGUGUGUAUAGAUGUUAAAGGUAUGAGUAUAUUUAUGUAUAAUUAAGCCACUUCUAAAAUUGACUAUUUAAAAAAGAAAAAGAAAAUCCACUCUCAGUUUCCCCUGAAAUAGUGACUUAAUGCUACACAUUAAAACAAUUUAUAUCAUUGAAACAAAACUUAUACUUCAGUUAAUAUAAACAAAACAGUUUCUUUUUAUUGUAUAUCAACUUUUGGUGGUUAGGGGUACACUUUUGUUCUCCAAAUGUAGUAUUGUAUUAUUCCUGGACUGUAUAAUAAAAAUACUCAUAAUUUUUAUUGAGCCAGAACCACUUUUCUGGAACAUCUUAAUUCCUGAUAGUUUUUGAAUUUAUCAACGAAAAAUUUAGGAAAGAUGUAUUUUACAUAUAAAUAUC